rnacentral:rRNA from 1 species
AAUAGAUACCCGGGUAGUCCACGCCGUAAACGAUGAGUGCUAAGUGUUAGAGGGUUUCCGCCCUUUAGUGCUGCAGCUAACGCAUUAAGCACUCCGCCUGGGGAGUACGGCCGCAAGGCUGAAACUCAAAGGAAUUGACGGGGGCCCGCACAAGCGGUGGAGCAUGUGGUUUAAUUCGAAGCAACGCGAAGAACCUUACCAGGUCUUGACAUCCUCUGCCAACCCUAGAGAUAGGGCGUUCCCCUUCGGGGGACAGAGUGACAGGUGGUGCAUGGUUGUCGUCAGCUCGUGUCGUGAGAUGUUGGGUUAAGUCCCGCAACGAGCGCACCCCUUGAUCUUAGUUGCCAGCAUUCAGUUGGGCACUCUAAGGUGACUGCCGGUGACAAACCGGAGGAAGGUGGGGAUGACGUCAAAUCAUCAUGCCCCUUAUGACCUGGGCUACACACGUGCUACAAUGGAUGGUACAAAGAGCUGCGAACCCGCGAGGGUAAGCGAAUCUCAUAAAGCCAUUCUCAGUUCGGA